rnacentral:rRNA from 1 species
AUACGGAGGGUGCGAGCGUUAAUCGGAAUUACUGGGCGUAAAGCGUACGUAGGCGGCUUGGUCAGUCGGAUGCGAAAGCCCCGGGCUCAACCUGGGAAUGGCAUUCGAUACUGCCAGGCUAGAGUAUGGGAGAGGGAAGUGGAAUUUCCGGUGUAGCGGUGAAAUGCGUAGAUAUCGGAAGGAACUCCAGUGGCGAAGGCGACUUCCUGGCCCAAUACUGACGCUGAGGUGCGAAAGCGUGGGGAGCGAACAGGAUUAGAAACCCUAGUAGUCC